UACGUAGGGUGCGAGCGUUGUCCGGAAUUACUGGGCGUAAAGAGCUCGUAGGUGGUUUGUCGCGUUGUUCGUGAAAACUCACAACUCAAUUGUGGGCGUGCGGGCGAUACGGGCAGACUGGAGUACUGCAGGGGAGACUGGAAUUCCCGGUGUAGCGGUGAAAUGCGUAGAGAUCGGGAGGAACACCAGAGGCGAAGGCGGCGACCUGGACAGUUACUGACACUCAACUACGAAAGCGUGGGGAGCAAACAGG
rnacentral:rRNA from 1 species